rnacentral:rRNA from 1 species
UACGUAGGGAGCAAGCGUUAUUCGGAAUUAUUGGGCGUAAAGGGCGUGUAGGCGGCUUUGUGUGUCUCAUGUGAAAGCCCUCGGCUCAACCGGGGAACUGCAUGGGAAACUGCUGAGCUUGAGUCCGGGAGAGGAAAGUGGAAUUCCCAGUGUAGCGGUGAAAUGCGUAGAUAUUGGGAGGAACACCAGUGGCGAAGGCGGCUUUCUGGACCGGUACUGACGCUGAGACGCGAAAGCCAGGGGAGCAAACGGG